rnacentral:rRNA from 1 species
GACGAACGCUGGCGGCGUGCCUAAUACAUGCAAGUCGAACGAAGCUGUUUUAACUGGUGCUUGCACCGACUUAAACAACUGAGUGGCGAACGGGUGAGUAACACGUGGGUAACCUGCCCCAAAGCGGGGGAUAACAUUUGGAAACAGAUGCUAAUACCGCAUAACCACAGAAACCACAUGGUUUCUGUGUCAAAGAUGGUUUCGGCUAUCACUUUGGGAUGGACCCGCGGCGUAUUAGCUAGUUGGUAAGGUAAUGGCUUACCAAGGCAAUGGUACGUAGCCGAACUGAGAGGUUGAUCGGCCACAUUGGGACUGAGACACGGCCCAAACUCCUACGGGAGGCAGCGGUAGGGAAUCUUCCACAAUGGACGAAAGUCUGAUGGAGCAACGCCGCGUGAGUGAAGAAGGUUUUCGGAUCGUAAAACUCUGUUGUCAGAGAAGAACGUGUGCGAGAGUAACUGCUCGUGCAGUGACGGUAUCUGGCCAGAAAGCCACGGCUAACUACGUGCCAGCCGCCGCAGUAA